rnacentral:lncRNA from 1 species
CUGCCAGGUGCUCUGUACUCCGCAAGCUCUCGAGACUCCGUGACCUAUCAUGCCUGGGCGAGCUUUUUGAAGUGGCACAACUACAAGACAGGAACUAAGAAGAAGUAACUGAAUGCCUACUCUAGGCCAGGUCCUUGCUAGGACUGAACAUGUGUUUGUCGAGGGUGGCUAAGUCUCAGCUGAGGCCGACCAGCACCACCAGACGUCAUCCCGUUGUGACUUCUACCUCCACACCAGAUGGCUUCUUCCCACACCAGUCAAACCAGGGUCUCCCUGAUCUCUGGCAAUCUAUACGGCAAAAUUAAGGACUGCAGCCUGGAGAAAAAAGUUCCUUCCCACUGUUGCUUGACUGAGCUGCCAUGGGCAAUGCCAGGAGGUGCAUGGGUGUCGGUGAAUAGGACAGAGAGACCUGCAGAGUGCAAUUCCAACCCUGCCACUAUUCGCUGUGUAACCUUGGGGCCCGGCCAUGCUAAGCAGAAGGAAAAGGACUGGCAAUGUGUGUUUGGGUCCCUGCUGCAGGAACUAGAGGCUGGGAGGAAAGUUUGGGCAGGCAAAUCUGGAUGCAUCCUUGGACAUAUUCCAUUAAGAGCGGUGCCACUCAACCUAUGGCGAUUAGAUGGCAGAGCCAGUGAUGAAGACUCUGGAGCCAUACCACCUGGGUUCUAAGCCCAGCUUUAUCUACUAGCUAUGUGACCCUCAGCAAGUCACUUCACUUCUCUGUGCCUUGGUUUCUUCAGCACACGUACGGUUGGGAUUAAAUAAGUGACUACAUGUCAAAUGCUUCUGGCAAAGGGUACAUGCUCUGAGUGUUGGUGAGCAUUGUUAUUAUCAGACAAAGGCCCGAGAGGCAUGAAAUAGUGUCCCUCUUCUCCCAGGGCAUCACAUCCCCUUCGUGAACAAAGACAUUAGUUGAGGCCAGUUUGAACAGAUUAAUGGGGUUCCUUUCAUUCAGCUUCCUAAAGGCAUAAAAUGACCCCUCCUGAGCUGGGGCCCUGCUUGUAAGGAUAACUGUGUGCAAGCCAGUCUUCAGCCAAGAUGCCCUAGGCUGUCCCCCAGAUUCAGCCAGAACUG